rnacentral:piRNA from 1 species
UAGGCACUAUAUUUUUCCUACAAU